rnacentral:rRNA from 1 species
GUGGGGAAUAUUGCGCAAUGGAGGCAACUCUGACGCAGCCAUGCCGCGUGCAGGAAGAAGGCGCUACGCGUUGUAAACUGCUUUUAACCGGGAAGAAACCCCAGGACGUGUCCUGGGUUGACGGUACCGGAGGAAUAAGCACCGGCUAACUUCGUGCCAGCAGCCGCGGUAAUACGAAGGGUGCAAGCGUUAUCCGGAUUCAUUGGGUUUACAGGGUGCGUAGGCGGAGCGUUAAGUCAGUGGUGAAAUCCUGCAGCUUAACUGUAGACUUGCCAUUGAUACUGGCGCUCUUGAGUGCGCUUGAAGUGGGCGGAAUGUGCCGUGUAGCGGUGAAAUGCUUAGAUAUAGCACAGAACACCAAUUGCGAAGGCAGCUCACUAAGGCGAUACUGACGCUGAGGCACGAAAGCGUGGGGAUCGAACAGGAUUAGAAACCCGGGUAGUCC